GAUGAACGCUGGCGGCGUGCCUAAUACAUGCAAGUCGAGCGAACAGACGAGGAGCUUGCUCCUCUGACGUUAGCGGCGGACGGGUGAGUAACACGUGGAUAACCUACCUAUAAGACUGGGAUAACUUCGGGAAACCGGAGCUAAUACCGGAUAAUAUUUUGAACCGCAUGGUUCAAUAGUGAAAGACGGUUUUGCUGUCACUUAUAGAUGGAUCCGCGCCGCAUUAGCUAGUUGGUAAGGUAACGGCUUACCAAGGCAACGAUGCGUAGCCGACCUGAGAGGGUGAUCGGCCACACUGGAACUGAGACACGGUCCAGACUCCUACGGGAGGCAGCAGUAGGGAAUCUUCCGCAAUGGGCGAAAGCCUGACGGAGCAACGCCGCGUGAGUGAUGAAGGUCUUCGGAUCGUAAAACUCUGUUAUUAGGGAAGAACAAAUGUGUAAGUAACUAUGCACAUCUUGACGGUACCUAAUCAGAAAGCCACGGCUAACUACGUG
rnacentral:rRNA from 1 species